rnacentral:rRNA from 1 species
GAUGAACGCUGGCGGCGUGCUUAACACAUGCAAGUCGAACGAUUAAGACCCCUUCGGGGGUGUAUAGAGUGGCGAACGGGUGAGUAACACGUGGGCAACCUGCCCCUUCCUCUGGGCUAACACGGAGAAAUCCGUGCUAAUACCGGAUACUCCAUAUCUGCGGCAUCGCGGAUAUGGGAAAGCUCCGACGGGAAGGGAUGGGCCCGCGGUCCAUUAGCUAGUCGGUGGGGUAACGGCCUACCGAGGCGACGAUGGAUAGCCGGGUUGAGAGACCGACCGGCCACAUUGGGACUGAGACACGGCCCAGACUCCUACGGGAGGCAGCAGUGGGGAAUUGUGCGCAAUGGGGGAAACCCUGACGCAGCAACGCCGCGUGCGGGAUGAAGGCCUUCGGGUUGUAAACCGCUUUCAGCAGGGAAGAAUACAGACGGUACCUGCAGAAGAAGCUCCGGCUAACUACGUGCCAGCCGCCGCCGUAA